rnacentral:pre_miRNA from 1 species
GCCCGGGUUUUGUGUGUGCCGCGCUGUUUUGAGUACGUAGCACCACAUGAUUCGGCUU